rnacentral:tRNA from 1 species
AGCUCCGUAGCUUGGAGGAAUGAAGCGCCCGUCUAGUGAAUUGGGAGUCGUGGGUUCGAUUCCCACCGGAGCAA